rnacentral:rRNA from 1 species
CAGCAGCCGCGGUAAUACGAAGGGGGCUAGCGUUGUUCGGAAUUACUGGGCGUAAAGCGCACGUAGGCGGAUAUUUAAGUCAGGGGUGAAAUCCCGCAGCUCAACUGCGGAACUGCCUUUGAUACUGGGUAUCUUGAGUAUGGAAGAGGUUAGUGGAAUUGCGAGUGUAGAGGUGAAAUUCGUAGAUAUUCGCAGGAACACCAGUGGCGAAGGCGGCUCACUGGCUCAUACUGGACGCUGAGGUGCGAAAGCGUGGGGAGCAAACAGGAUUAGAUACCCCCGUAGUCCCUGUCUCUUAUAC